AUAUCUUUCUCGGCCUUUUGGCUAAGAUCAAGUGCAGUAUCUGUUCUUAUCAGUUUAAUAUCUGAUAUGUGGGUUAUAUGCACACAAUGAUAUUAAAUUUAUUUCUAUGGGGGAGGGGCCACCACAAUAGCUUGCUGUUGGGCCCCUUGCAUGUCGUCUAGGCGUUGCACUACUACCUAGGCUGGCGCACCCCAA
rfam:Triticum urartu cultivar G1812 contig719671, whole genome shotgun sequence.